GUCCAGGUCGCUCCACAGGCCAACAGUGGGUGAGACAGCAAGGACUUCUUAAAAGGACCAUGGAUUUGAAGAAUUGGAAAUGGGAAAGAAAUUAGAGGUACCAAAGAGCAAAGAGUAGACACCAAGUUUAAGGUGUUCUAACAACAACAUAACCAUUUCUCAGCUGAAGCAAUGUAAAUUUUAACUGUUCUGGAACCAUCUGAAUGAGAUGAAACAUAGGAAUAAAUAGCAUAAUG
rnacentral:lncRNA from 1 species